rnacentral:rRNA from 1 species
UACGUGAGGGGCGAACGUUGUUCGGUGUCACUGGGCUUAAAGGGCGCGUAGGUGGCUGUGCAAGUAAGGUGUGAAAGCCCUCGGCUUACCCGGGGAAUUGCGCCUUAAACUGCAUGGCUUGAGGGAUUCAGGGGAAUGGGGAACUCCAGGUGUAGCGGUGAAAUUCGUAGAUAUCAAGCGGAACACCGGUGGCGAAGGCGGCCUUCUGGACAGUGACUGACGCUGAGACGCGAAAGCGUGGGGAGCAAACAGG